UGGCGGACGGGUGAGUAAUGUCUGGGAAACUGCCCGAUGGAGGGGGAUAACUACUGGAAACGGUAGCUAAUACCGCAUAACGUCGCAAGACCAAAGAGGGGGACCUUCGGGCCUCGCGCCAUCAGAUGAACCCAUAUGGGAUUAGCUUGUAGGUAAGGUAACGGCUUACCUAGGCGACGAUCCCUAGCUGGUCUGAGAGGAUGAUCAGCCACACUGGGACUGAGACACGGCCCAG
rnacentral:rRNA from 1 species